rnacentral:rRNA from 1 species
AAUUCGAUGAUACGCGAGGAACCUUACCUGGGCUCGAACGUAAGAUGACUGUAGGUGAAAGCUUACAUCUCUUCGGAGCAUUUUACGAGGUGCUGCAUGGUUGUCGUCAGCUCGUGCCGUGAGGUGUCGGGUUAAGUCCCAUAACGAGCGCAACCCCUACCUUUAGUUGCCAUCAGGUUAAGCUGGGACUCUAAAGGAACUGCCUACGCAAGUAGUGAGGAAGGCGGGGAUGACGUCAAAUCAGCACGGCCCUUACGUCCAGGGCUACACACGUGCUACAAUGGCCGAUACAGAGGGCAGCUACCUGGUGACAGGAUGCAAAUCUCCAAAGUCGGUCUCAGUUCGGAUCGGAGUCUGCAACCCGACUCCGUGAAGUUGGAUUCGCUAGUAAUCGCGCAUCAGCCAUGGCGCGGUGAAUACGUUCCCGGGCCUU